GCUACAAAUUGUUCUAUCGCGGUCUCAAGUCAUUGAGAAUGAGGAAAGUCUGGACAACGUAGAGCACCACACCAUCUAACGGAUGGGGUUCGAAUCAAGCAGUUGAUUAGGAUACAGAAAGUGUCGCAGAAAAUAACCGCCUAUUAAAUGUAGGUAAGGGUGAAAAUGUGUGGUAAGAGCACACAACGUUCUCAAGUAACUGAGAGGGUGGAUAAACCUUGUGGGUUGAAAUGUCAUGUACAUCAGCGUUUGAGGGUUGCUCGCCCGAUGCUGAGGGGUAGGCAGAUAGACGCUAAUCGUGAGGUUAGUGCUAGAUAAUGAUAGAAGUUUCGCAAAUGCGAAAAACAGAAUCCGGCUUACAGGUUUGUAGCGUUG
rnacentral:RNase_P_RNA from 1 species